rnacentral:rRNA from 1 species
AUACGUAGGGGACGAGCGUUGUCCGGAAUUACUGGGCGUAAAGGGCGCGCAGGCGGAUAUUUAAGUCAGCUGUAAAAGGCAUGAGCUCAACUCAUGUAUGCGGUUGAAACUGGGUAUCUAGAGUGCUGGAGAGGUAGGCGGAAUUCCCGGUGUCGCGGUGAAAUGCGUAGAUAUCGGGAAGAACACCAGUGGCGAAGGCGGCUUACUGGCCAGCAACUGACGCUGAGGCGCGAAAGCCAGGGGAGCGAACGGGAUUAGAUACCCCGGUAGUCCUGGCCGUAAACGAUGAAUGCUAGGUGUGGGUGUCGAGAGGCAUCCGUGCCGGAGUUAACGCGAUAAGCAUUCCGCCUGGGGAGUACGAUCGCAAGAUUGAAACUCAAAGGAAUUGACGGGG